UUUUCUGUGUUGUCCUGGUUUCCUGGGAAGCUGCUACUUCCCCUCACAGCCACCAGAUGCCGCCACUGGGCGGAGCCCCUGGAGAAGUGCAGCGGCCAACCUGUAGACACACCUGUGUCUAAUCUGAGAGCUGCUGAGGUGCUUCAUAAGGAGCGACUAGCUGACACUCCAGUGCCUCAGUGUUUGCCUCUACUGGUUUCCUCGUUGUUCCCCUGAAACUCCUCGUGGUGGACGUUUAUUUCCCGUCUGGAAAUGCCCCUGUGUUUCCUCAYGACGCCAUUGGUGAUACCAAUCGGUUGCCAUCCUCGUGCACUCGCCUUCCUGGUCCUUCCCGUGGAUUCCCUUCAUUUCGCCUCAGGUUGUACCUGUUGCCGUUUGUAGCUCCGGGAGCUAGCYAUCUGGACCCUGCUGUGAUAUCAGCUCGCUCCUUUAACCCAGCCACCAAAACUUACCUGCUCGCUSUCCAACGGAAACCCGCUUCUCCGGCUGCCACCAUAGAAAAUCUUAAUCUGCCUUCAAUUUGACGACCGGUUCCCCCCUCCCAAAUCCAGGACUGUUCUCCCUUGAUCUCCACCUCCMCUUUCCCUUUAAUAAAUAUUGURUUUUUU